rnacentral:rRNA from 1 species
GCACGAAAGUUAGCCGGUGCUUUCUCUAGUGGUACCGUCAUCUCCACGGGGUAUUAACCCGUGUUCUUUCUUCCCACUUAACAGGAGUUUACAAUCCGAAAACCGUCAUCCUCCACGCGGCGUCGCUGCAUCAGGCUUUCGCCCAUUGUGCAAUAUUCCCCA